rnacentral:rRNA from 1 species
AAUGAACGCUGGCGGCGUGCCUAACACAUGCAAGUCGAGCGCGAAAACAGCCUUCGGGCUGUGAGUAGAGCGGCGAACGGGUGAGUAACACGUGGGUAACCUGCUCAGGAGUGGGGAAUAACUCGGGGAAACUCGGGCUAAUACCGCAUACGCUCCGGACGACCUCGGUCGAUCGGAGGAAAGGUGGCGACUGCGCAAGCAAGCUGUCGCUCCUGAAGGGACCCGCGCCCGAUUAGCUAGUUGGUGAGGUAACGGCUCACCAAGGCGACGAUCGGUAGCCGGCCUGAGAGGGUGAUCGGCCACACUGGAACUGAGACACGGUCCAGACUCCUACGGGAGGCAGCAGUGGGGAAUAUUGCGCAAUGGGCGAAAGCCUGACGCAGCAACG